rnacentral:rRNA from 1 species
GACGAACGCUGGCGGCGUGCCUAACACAUGCAAGUCGAACGGAGUUCCUUCGGGGACUUAGUGGCGAACGGGUGAGUAACGCGUGAAGAACCUGCCUUUCAGUGGGGGACAACAGUUGGAAACGACUGCUAAUACCGCAUAAUGUUAUCGAGCGGCAUCGCUUGAUAACCAAAGCUUUAUGUGCUGAAAGAUGGUCUCGCGUCUGAUUAGCUUGUUGGCGGGGUAACGGCCCACCAAGGCGACGAUCAGUAGCCGGUCUGAGAGGAUGAACGGCCACAUUGGGACUGAGAUACGGCCCAGACUCCUACGGGAGGCAGCAGUGGGGAAUAUUGGGCAAUGGGGGGAAACCCUGACCCAGCAACGCCGCGUGAAGGAAGAAGGGCCUUCGGGUUGGUAAACUUCUUUUAGUCAGGACGAAGGACGUGACGGUACCUGCAGAAAAAGACAACGGCUAACUACGUG